CCCUUACACAGGUGGGUGGGUCGAGUAGACCAAGGCGCGCGAGAGAAACCUCUCUAAGGAACUCGGCAAAAUAGCCCCGUAACUUCGGGAGAAGGGGUACCCACUUCGGUGGGUCACAGUAAAUUGGGUUUAGCGACUGUUUAACAAAAACACAGCACUCUGCCAAGUUGUGAAAACAACGUAUAGGGUGUGACACGUGACCAAUGCGGAAAGAUCAAGGUGACUUGUUAGCCGCAAGGCGAAGCUCGGAGCCAAAGUCCCCGUGAAUGUCGGCCGUAACUAUAACGGUCCUAAGGUAGCGAAAUUCCUUGUCGGGUAAGUUCCGACCUGCACGAAUCGUGUAACGACUGAACCGCUGUCUCGGAGAGGAUCUCGGCGAAAUUGUAACGGCGGUGAAGAUGCCGCCUGCCCGCAGUAGGACGGAAAGACCCUAUGCACCUUUACUGUAAGCUGGUAUUGUGUUCUGAUUAAUGAUGCGUAGCGUAGGUGGGAGACUUUGAAGCCAUGGUUUCGGUUGUGGCUGAGUCGCAAUGUGAAACACCACUCUUUGUUAAUUAGGAUUCUAACCCUAUGCUGUUAGCCAGCUAGGGGACAGUGCCUGCGGGUCAGUUUGACUGGGCGGUUUCCCCCCAAAGGGUAACGGAGGAGCGCUAAGGUACUCUCAGCAUGGUUUGCAACCAUGCGUCGAGCGUAUGGGUAGAAGAGUGCUUAACUGCGAGACCAACAAGUCGAGCAGAUACGAAAGUAGGCCCAAAUGAUCCGAUGGUUGAAUAUGGAAUUGCCAUCGCUCAACGGACAAAAGGUACGCUAGGGAUAACAGGCUGAUCGGAUCCAAGAGUUCAUAUCGACGAUCCGGUUUGGCACCUUGAUGUCGGCUCAUCGCAUCCUGGGGCUGGAGAAGGUCCCAAGGGUCCGGCUGUUCGCCGGUUAAAGCGGUACGCGAGCUGGGUUCAGAACGUCGUGAGACAGUUCGGUCCUUAUCCACUGUGGGCGCAGGAAACUUGAGGGGUUCAUUCUCUAGUACGAGAGGACCGAGAAUGACGCACUUCUGGUGUGGCAGUUGUUCCGUCAGGGGCAGCGCUGCGUAGCCAUGUGCGGAAGAGAUAAGCGCUGAAAGCAUCUAAGUGCCAAGCUCAUCCCAAGAUAUUGUUUCCCGGACGCAAGUCCCUAAAGACUCCAUGUAGACCACGUGGUUGAUAGGUCAGGCGUGUAAGUGCCGCAAGGUACUCAGCGGACUGAUACUAAUUAGUCGUGCGGCUUGAUCGC
rnacentral:rRNA from 1 species